rnacentral:rRNA from 1 species
UACGUAGGUGGCAAGCGUUGUCCGGAUUUAUUGGGCGUAAAGGGUGUGUAGGCGGUUGUUUAAGUUUGGUGUGAAAUCUCCCGGCUCAACUGGGAGGGUGCGCCGAAUACUGAAUGACUAGAGUGCGGGAGAGGAAAGUGGAAUUCCUGGUGUAGCGGUGAAAUGCGUAGAUAUCAGGAGGAACACCGGUGGUGUAGACGGCUUUCUGGACCGUAACUGACGCUGAGACACGAAAGCGUGGGUAGCAAACAGG